CUUUGGAUGUAACUCAGUGGUAGAGUGCUUGCAUAAUAUGCUGAAGGCCAUGGGUUUGAUCCCCAAUUAAAAAG
rnacentral:tRNA from 1 species